ACACAUGCAAGUCGAACGGCAGCAUGANCUAGCUUGCUAGAUUGAUGGCGAGUGGCGAACGGGUGAGUAAUACAUCGGAACGUGCCCUGUAGUGGGGGAUAACUAGUCGAAAGAUUAGCUAAUACCGCAUACGACCUGAGGGUGAAAGUGGGGGACCGCAAGGCCUCAUGCUAUAGGAGCGGCCGAUGUCUGAUUAGCUAGUUGGUGAGGUAAAGGCUCACCAAGGCGACGAUCAGUAGCUGGUCUGAGAGGACGAUCAGCCACACUGGGACUGAGACACGGCCCAGACUCCUACGGGAGGCAGCAGUGGGGAAUUUUGGACAAUGGGCGAAAGCCUGAUCCAGCAAUGCCGCGUGUGUGAAGAAGGCCUUCGGGUUGUAAAGCACUUUUGUCCGGAAAGAAAUGGCUCUGGUUAAUACCUGGGGUCGAUGACGGUACCGGAAGAAUAAGGACCGGCUAACUACGUGCCAGCAGCCGCGGUAAUACGUAGGGUCCAAGCGUUAAUCGGAAUUACUGGGCGUAAAGCGUGCGCAGGCGGUUGUGCAAGACCGAUGUGAAAUCCCCGAGCUUAACUUGGGAAUUGCAUUGGUGACUGCACGGCUAGAGUGUGUCAGAGGGGGGUAGAAUUCCACGUGUAGCAGUGAAAUGCGUAGAGAUGUGGAGGAAUACCGAUGGCGAA
rnacentral:rRNA from 1 species